GUUUAAAUACGCCCCAGCCUGUCGUAGUCCUGAAGAGGGUAAGCCUUCUAGAGAAUGGAUAGUUUGGGGCGGGCUGAAGUAGAUAGCUAAAUGUGUUUUUCAUGGACUAAUGCCAUGAGAGUGGAUUAACAUGGAUUAUCCACCUGUGUUGCUGUGACCAGGUAAUGCAGGGAUGAAGGAGGGAGGAAGCCAGAGAUUUUUUUUUUGUGUGUGCCAGCAUGUCACUUCCAGGCUUUGCAUGUUGUAUUUUUGCGAGUGUGUGUGCAAUAAGAGUUAUGUCCUUGUAACAGGUACGUGGAAGUGAUCUUAGAAACACAAUGGCUGAAAGGAGGUAGUUACUUGUGCGUCAGCAUGCAUUUGUAUGUCUUAGAAGAGUGCAGAACAUAGCAGAAGACCGUAAUGCAGGUGGCAGAUUCACCCUCAAGAAAGAUGGACUCAGACUGAGAGUAAAUAGCCAACAGAGACAGGCAGUGAAUAGAUGAAGAAAUUUGUGCACAAGAAGAAAAAUGGAAAUGAGAAAAGCAACAAAUCACUGAAAUCAAGGGAGCACACACCGGAGGCUCUUCUCAUUUACAUCUUCAUCUCAUCUGGUCAAUCCUAUACAUAAGAGGGCUGUC